rnacentral:misc_RNA from 1 species
AACGCACCUUGCGCUCCUUGGUAUUCCGAGGAGCAUGCCUGUUUGAGUGUCAUUAAUAUAUCAACCUCUUCAGCUUUUUGCAUGUUGAGUGUUGGAUGUGGGGGUAUUUUUUGCUGGACUCUUGAAUCUGAGGUCAGCUCCCCUAAAAUGCAUCAGCGAAACAAUUUGUUUACCGCUCAUUGGUGUGAUAACAUCUACGCUAUUGACGGUGAAGCAUGUUUAGCUCCUAACAGUCCAUUAACUUGGACAAACCUCUUAUUAAUGUGACCUCAAAUCAGGUAGGACUACCCGCUGAACUUAA